rnacentral:miRNA from 14 species
CAAUGUUCAGCAUAUAUGUGUGUGUGUGUGUGUGUGUGUGUGUGUGUGUGUGUAUAUAUAUACACAUAUAUACAUAUAUAUAUAUAUAUAUAUAUAUA